rnacentral:rRNA from 1 species
CCUGGAAACAGAUGCUAAUACCGGAUAACAACAGAUGAUGCCUAUCAACUGUUUAAAAGUAUGGUUCUGCUAUCACUCUUGGAUGGACCUGCAGUGCAUUAGCUAGUUGGUAGGGUAACGGCCUACCAAGGCGAUGAUGCAUAGCCGAGUUGAGAGACUGAUCGGCCACAUUGGGACUGAGACACGGCCCAAACUCCUACGGGAGGCAGCAGUC